UACGGGGGGAGCAAGCGUUGUUCGGAUUUACUGGGCGUAAAGGGCGCGUAGGCGGCCACUGCAAGUCGGUUGUGAAAUCUCCGGGCUUAACCCGGAAAGGUCAAUCGAUACUGCAGGGCUAGAGUGCGGAAGGGGCAACUGGAAUUCUCGGUGUAGCGGUGAAAUGCGUAGAUAUCGAGAGGAACACCUGCGGCGAAGGCGGGUUGCUGGGCCGACACUGACGCUGAGGAGCGAAAGCAUGGGGAGCGAACAGG
rnacentral:rRNA from 1 species